rnacentral:rRNA from 1 species
GACGAACGCUGGCGGCGUGCUUAACACAUGCAAGUCGAACGCUGAAGCUUGGUGCUUGCACUGGGUGGAUGAGUGGCGAACGGGUGAGUAAUACGUGAGUAACCUGCCCUUGACUCUGGGAUAAGCCUGGGAAACUGGGUCUAAUACUGGAUAUGACAUGCCACUGCAUGGUGGUGUGUGGAAAGGGUUUUACUGGUUUUGGAUGGGCUCACGGCCUAUCAGCUUGUUGGUGGGGUAAUGGCCUACCAAGGCGACGACGGGUAGCCGGCCUGAGAGGGUGACCGGCCACACUGGGACUGAGACACGGCCCAGACUCCUACGGGAGACAGCAGUGGGGAAUAUUGUACAAUGGGCGGAAGCCUGAUGCAGCGACCCCGCGUCAGGGAUGACGGCCUUCGGGUUGUAAACCUCUUUCAGCACGGCAGAAGCGAGAGUGACGGUACGUGCAGAAGAAGCGCCGGCUAACUACGUG